rnacentral:rRNA from 1 species
CCUACGGGAGGCAGCAGUGGGGAAUAUUGCACAAUGGGCGAAAGCCUGAUGCAGCGACGCCGCGUGAGGGAUGACGGCCUUCGGGUUGUAAACCUCUUUCAGCAGGGAAGAAGCGAGAGUGACGGUACCUGCAGAAGAAGCGCCGGCUAACUACGUGCCAGCAGCCGCGGUAAUACGUAGGGCGCAAGCGUUGUCCGGAAUUAUUGGGCGUAAAGAGCUCGUAGGCGGCUUGUUGCGUCGGUUGUGAAAGCCCGGGGCUUAACCCCGGGUCUGCAGUCGAUACGGGCAGGCUAGAGUGUGGUAGGGGAGAUCGGAAUUCCUGGUGUAGCGGUGAAAUGCGCAGAUAUCAGGAGGAACACCGGUGGCGAAGGCGGAUCUCUGGGCCAUUACUGACGCUGAGGAGCGAAAGCGUGGGGAGCGAACAGGAUUAGAUACCCUGGUAGUCCACGCCGUAAACGUUGGGAACUAGGUGUUGGCGACAUUCCACGUCGUCGGUGCCGCAGCUAACGCAUUAAGUUCCCCGCCUGGGGAGUACGGCCGCAAGGCUAAAACUCAAAGGAAUUGACGGCUGAGACGNGCGACGACGACACGAGGAGAG